rnacentral:rRNA from 1 species
GAUGAACGCUAGCGGCAGGCUAACACAUGCAAGUCGAGGGGCAGCGCGAAUAUUGCUUGCAAUAUUUGGCGGCGACCGGCGCACGGGUGCGUAACGCGUAUGCAACCUACCCUAUAUAGGAGAAUAACCGGGAGAAAUCCCGACUAAUACUCCGUAUGUAACGAAAAGGCAUCUUUUCGUUAUGAGAGAUUUAUCGAUAUAGGAUGGGCAUGCGUGACAUUAGCUAGUUGGUGAGGUAACGGCUCACCAAGGCAACGAUGUCUAGGGGUUCUGAGAGGAAGGUCCCCCACACUGGUACUGAGACACGGACCAGACUCCUACGGGAGGCAGCAGUGAGGAAUAUUGGUCAAUGGACGAAAGUCUGAACCAGCCAUGCCGCGUGCAGGAUGACGGCUCUAUGAGUUGUAAACUGCUUUUAUAUAAGAAUAAAACCCCCUACGUGUAGGGGGCUUGAAUGUAUUAUAUGAAUAAGGAUCGGCUAACUCCGUGCCAGCAGCCGCGGUAAUAC